rnacentral:rRNA from 1 species
GACAGAGGGUGCAAACGUUGUUCGGAAUUACUGGGCGUAAAGCGUGUGUAGGCGGCCAUGCAAGUCGGAUGUGAAAGCCCCGGGCUCAACCCGGGAAGUGCACUCGAUACUGCGUGGCUAGAGUAUCGGAGAGGUUGGUGGAAUUCUCGGUGUAGAGGUGAAAUUCAUAGAUAUCGAGAGGAACACCUGUGGCGAAGGCGGCCAACUGGACGAAUACUGACGCUGAGACACGAAAGCGUGGGGAGCAAACAGG